GCUGCGUCACGGCCCGCCCGGACUGCGCCGGGGGACAGGUUUGAGUGUGGCACCGAGGCACCCGCGCUGUGCCGGGGGACAGAAUUGUGUUGUCAAGUGAAUUGCUGGCAGGAGGCAGACGUGCCUGGCUGGAAGAUUUUCAUGUGGCUGGUGAAUCAGCUCGAAAAUGUAAAAAGAGGUUUUGCUAAUCCACUUAUUGUGCCUUAUGGUGUUCAGCGUGGAAGCUGCAGGGCAGGGACAUUCCUCAGGGCUGGAAUGGCUACUGGAGCACCGGGGGCUGCUCUCACAUGCAGCUCAUUCAAGGAGGUCGUCGUGUUACACCAGUCACGGAACUGCAAUGACAGCUUUUGAUCUAAGCCCUGUCAAAUUCCAGUGAAAUAUGUCUUAGGGGUUGGAUGUGUCCACCUGGCCCAGACUCCUCAUUCUGGGGCUGUUUCAGAACCUGCAGAGAUGCUAUUCUUUUUUGCCAGCUUUUCCUGCCAAUAUAGAGAUGACUCAGAGGCAAAUCCUGAGGACCUUUCUCAGAAAUUUCUGAUUUUCUGCCAUCCCUCAGCUUUUAGCCAUUACUUUAGUCGCAACAAAAGGCAUGAUGGUACUUCAAAAGAAGUAAAGGACAUUUUCCAAAGCACUUACUAAUUCUGAAACAGAAGUGGGACUGCACUGAAAUAUAAUUGAUACACCAAGAAGACUGUUGGGAUUUCUGGGAGAAGCAUCUCUCUUUGGCUCACAGACAUGGUACCAGAUCACCAGCCAUUUAGAAGAGCUUGGAGCCGAACAGCACCACAGGGGAAGAUGCUGUCGCUACCCCCAGGC